rnacentral:rRNA from 1 species
GAUGAACGCUAGCUACAGGCUUAACACAUGCAAGUCGAGGGACCGGCGCACGGGUGAGUAACACGUAUCCAACCUGCCGAUUAUUCCGGGAUAGCCUUUCGAAAGAAAGAUUAAUACUGGAUAAUAAUCGAUGGGGAUGCGUUCCAUUAGUUUGUUGGCGGGGUAACGGCCCACCAAGACAUCGAUGGAUAGGGGUUCUGAGAGGAAGGUCCCCCACAUUGGAACUGAGACACGGUCCAAACUCUACGGGAGGCAGCAGUGAGGAAUAUUGGUCAAUGGACGAGAGUCUGAACCAGCCAAGUAGCGUGAAGGAUGACUGCCUAUGGGUUGUAAACUUCUUUUAUAUGGGAAUAUGUACCAUACGAAUAAGGAUCGGCUAACUCCGUGCCAGCAGCCGCGGUAAUACGGAGGAUCCGAGCGUUACCCGGAUUUAUUGGGUUUAAAGGGAGCGUAGGCGGAUUAUUAAGUCAGUUGUGAAAGUUUGCGGCUCAACCGUAAAAUUGCAGUUGAUACUGGUAGUCUUGAGUGCAGCAGAGGUAGGCGGAAUUCGUGGUGUAGCGGUGAAAUGCUUAGAUAUCACGAAGAACUCCGAUUGCGAAGGCAGCUUACUGGACUGUAACUGACGCUGAUGCUCGAAAGUGUGGGUAUCAAACAGGAUUAGAUACCCUGGUAGUCCACACAGUAAACGAUGAAUACUCGCUGUUUGCAAGCGGCCAAGCGAAAGCAUUAAGUAUUCCACCUGGGGAGUACGCCGGCAAGGUGCAACUCAAAUGAAUUGACGGA